rnacentral:tRNA from 1 species
AAGACUUUAAGUUAAAUUAAACUAAAAACCUUCAAAGUUUUCAAUAGGAUAUCCUAAGUUUUG